GACGAACGCUGGCGGCGUGCCUAAUACAUGCAAGUCGAACGCUGAAGGAGGAGCUUGCUUCUCUGGAUGAGUUGCGAACGGGUGAGUAACGCGUAGGUAACCUGCCUGGUAGCGGGGGAUAACUAUUGGAAACGAUAGCUAAUACCGCAUAAUAGUAGAUGUUGCAUGACAUUUGCUUAAAAGGUGCAAUUGCAUCACUACCAGAUGGACCUGCGUUGUAUUAGCUAGUUGGUGGGGUAACGGCUCACCAAGGCGACGAUACAUAGCCGACCUGAGAGGGUGAUCAGCCACACUGGAAGUGAGACACGGCCCAGACUCCUACGGGAGGCAGCAGUGGGGAAUUUUGGGCAAUGGGCGGAAGUCUGACCCAGCAACGCCGCGUGGGUGAAGAAGGUUUUCGGGUCGUAAAGCCUUUUUGUAGGGAAAGAAAGGGUGUGGGUUUAGAAAGUGCUGUUUUGAAGGGUACUUAACAAGAAGGGGCGGCUAAAUUCGGG
rnacentral:rRNA from 1 species